rnacentral:rRNA from 1 species
UGAGUAACACGUAUGCAAUCCACCUGUAACAGGGGGAUAACCCGGAGAAAUCCGGACUAAUACCCCAUAAUAUGGGCGCUCCGCAUGGAGAGUUCAUUAAAGAGAGCAAUUUUGGUUACAGACGAGCAUGCGCUCCAUUAGCCAGUUGGCGGGGUAACGGCCCACCAAGGCGACGAUCAGUAGCCGGCCUGAGAGGGUGAACGGCCACAUUGGGACUGAGACACGGCCCAA